CUUCCUGAGCGGCUUUAUCUCACAGCUCACUGAGGUGCACAUUCUGAGUAGGAUCAACACCAGAGUGGUUGUUGUCAAGAGAGCAGCUCUUACUAGUGGUCUCUAGGCCUUACCUAAGCAGGGAACUCUUGAAUCCCAGAUUUUCCUCAUUAUAAGGACUCACCAUCCUCUGGCACAUUCCUUCCCACUCAGGAGAUCUUCUAGAAUAGAGCUCUCAGCUUCCUCACUGCCUAGCCAUGCUCUUAGUGGUCAUUCUGCUGCUUGGAAUGUUCUUCACACUGAGAGGAACCAGAGCCCAGUCGGUGACCCAGCUUGAUGGCCACAUCACUGUCUCUGAAGAAGCCCCUCUGGAACUGAAGUGCAACUAUUCCUAUAGUGGAGUUCCUUCUCUCUUCUGGUAUGUCCAAUACUCUAGCCAAAGCCUCCAGCUUCUCCUCAAAGACCUAACAGAGGCCACCCAGGUUAAAGGCAUCAAAGGUUUUGAGGCUGAAUUUAAGAAGAGCGAAACCUCCUUCUACCUGAGGAAACCAUCAACCCAUGUGAGCGAUGCUGCUGAGUACUUCUGUGCUGUGGGUGACACAGUGCCUGGGACUGCAGGAGGAGCUGAACACAAACUUCCUGAGACACUGAGGUUUUCAGGAACUCAAGGGCACAGCCUGAACUAUUUGUAGCAAGGUCUCUCAUUUGAUGAAAGUGAGAAAGGUGGAAGAACAGAGCCAUGAGGAGUGCUUGACUCCAGAGAAGAAACAGAGACUUCAACACGUUCCUUCUUUUACUACUGGGUCACAUCAGACAAGACGUAGAAGAGACAGACUUCUAUGACUAUUCUCCUUCUGCUUGGAGAUACCACACUGAAGAGGGUCAAGUUUUUUUUUUAUUAUACUUUAAGUUUUAGGGUACAUGUAGAAGAUUUUAAAUUAGUGUGAUCAGUACUGGACUCCUGAUCCUCUCCUUCUCACUGCCAACAUGCUGCUUCUAUUACCUAUUGUUUUUCAAUCGACAGCAUCUCAUUCUUUCAGAAUCUCUGCCCAUAGCCUCAGAGUUAUUUUUGACUCUUAUUUUUUCUUUCACUAUUCACAUUGAAUCCAUCAAGAAAUUCAGUUGGCCCUAACUAAAAGAUUGACCCAUAGUUUGACCACUGCUAUCUCUUUGGUCAAGCCACCCUCAUCUCAAUGAAUUACCGUAGUAGCCUUCCAAAUGGUUUCCCUGCUUGUCCUCCUACAGGACAUUCUUAAUACAGCAGCCAAUGAGAUCUUUCAAAUAUAGAUAGGUCACUCAUCUGCUCCAAUCCUUGCAAUAGCUUCCCAUUUCUCUUAGAGUAACAUCAAAGUACUUACAGUGACCUGUAAGAAUGCAUGAUCUAUCUCUCGUUACAUUUUUAAAACACCAACAGAAAAAUAACUUUGGCAACCCUGAAUUCUAUACCAGUAAAAAUAUCGCAAAGAAAUUAUAGUAAAGACAUUCUCGAAAGGAAAACUGAGAGAAUUCGUUGUGAGCAGACCUGCUAUAAACGAAGUUCUAAAGGAAGUUAUUCAGGCUGAAGGGAAAGGAUACCAGAGGAAAAUUUGCAACUUCAAAUACGAAGGAAGAACAACAGAAAUAGUAAAUAUGUGAUAAGAUACAAGAAACUAGUUUUCAUUUCUCUUUUACAGUCAGCUUUAUUGAGGUAUAAGUUAUAUACAAAAACUAUACAUAUUUAAUAUAUGCAAUUUCAUGAGUUUGGACAUAUGCAUACAACCGUGAAACCAUCAUCACAAUCAAGGCAAUAGACAUGUUUGUCACCUCUAAAAGUUUCCUUGUGACUCUUUGUUUUUGUUGUUAUUGCUGCUGCUAUUGUUGUAAGAAAAAUUAACAUGACAUUUACCCUCAAUAAAUUUUCAAGUGCUCAAGCCUGUAUUGUUAACUAUGGACACUAUGUUGUAUAGCAGAUCUUUAGAACUUAUUUUUACAUAACUAAAACUUUAAAACCAUUGAACAACAACUCCCAAUUUCUCCCUCCCCCCAGUCCCUGGAAACCAUUAUUUUAUUCUCUGCUUCUAUGAAUUUGACUAUUUCAGAUACCUCAAAUAAGUGUAAUCAUGCAUUAUUUGUCCAUCUGUGACUGGGUUAUUUCACCUAGCGUAAUCUCCUCCAAGUUCAAUAGUGUUGUCACAAAUGGCAGGAUAUUCUUCUUUUUCAAGGCCGAGUAAUGUUUAAUUGUAUGAAUAUACCACAAUUUAUUUAUUUAUUUGUCACUAAUCUUUCUUUUCCAUAUCUUGCAUAUUGUAAUACCACAUGCAGAAGAAUAAAAUUGAACACCAUACAC